UACGAAGGGUGCAAGCGUUACUCGGAAUUACUGGGCGUAAAGCGUGCGUAGGUGGUUUGUUAAGUCUGCUGUGAAAGCCCCGGGCUCAACCUGGGAAUGGCAGUGGAUACUGGCAAGCUAGAGUGCGGUAGAGGGUAGUGGAAUUCCCGGUGUAGCGGUGAAAUGCGUAGAGAUCGGAAGGAACACCAGUGGCGAAGGCGGCUACCUGGACCAGCACUGACACUGAGGCACGAAAGCGUGGGGAGCAAACAGG
rnacentral:rRNA from 1 species